GCCCGACGGCCCGACGGUGCGUUAUGCCCAGAGCAACUGCGGAUAAGCGACCGUCAUACUCCGUGGUCAUUCUUUUCUCACGCAUUCAAAAACACAAUAUUUUCACAAAUGGUGUUUAUUGCCAUAGUUUCGAUGUUAGUCCGUUUCUUCGAUUCUACACGAUGAGAGUGUACGCAGUGGGACAGACAUUCUCUGGAACGCCCCACGCUCAGCUUUAAUUCUCAUUGCGUAGAAUCAAGGAAGGAACCUCCACAUCACCCUUAAGCAUAAUGUUCAAUGUUUGUCAUGAAUGAAUCAAUUAUAUUCUUAGGAUAUAGUUUCUCACUUCCACUUUCUAAAAAUAAAAUUUUGUCUCACAUUUCUGCUGUCUUUUUCUGAGAUUAGCAGCCGCAAAGAAAGACUACAUAGUCCCCUGGACCAUUGUUCAGAGACUGAGGCCAUCAUGGAAUCACUUCAACCUCAAGUAGUUGUCAGUAUAUAGGAGGAGUUCAGCUUGACAUCCAUACAUAGCAGCAGCUAGGAAAUUUGGAUAUCGGCUACUGACUUUUGACAAGUUUAACUAUUCUAGUCUUCACUUGAACGCGAAGGCAGAAAACUUGAGUGCUGCUGCAGUUUGAACAAGGAGUGUGGACAAGAACAAUGGUGUGGCCAAAACCCGUUCCAACUAAAUUAUUUGAUGUGAUUUUAAAGUAAUAAAAUUUCAGUCUUUUGGU